AUUGAACGCUGGCGGCAUGCUUUACACAUGCAAGUCGAACGGCAGCACGGACUUCGGUCUGGUGGCGAGUGGCGAACGGGUGAGUAAUACAUCGGAACGUACCCAGUAAUGGGGGACAACUAGUCGAAAGAUUAGCUAAUACCGCAUACGCCCUACGGGGGAAAGAGGGGGAUCGCAAGACCUCUUGUUAUUGGAGCGGCCGAUGGCUGAUUAGCUAGUUGGUGGGGUAAAGGCCUACCAAGGCGACGAUCAGUAGCGGGUCUUAGAGGACGAUCCGCCACAAUGGAACUGAGACACGGUCCAGACUCCUACGGGAGGCAGCAGUGGGGAAUCUUGGACAAUGGGCGAAAGCCUGAUCCAGCAAUGCCGCGUGCGUGAAGAAGGCCUUCGGGUUGUAAAGCGCUUUUGUCUGGGAGCAAAUCCUUGUGGCUAAUACCCACCGGGGAUGAGAGUACCAGAAGAAUAAGGACCGGCUAACUACGUGCCAGCAGCCGCGGUAA
rnacentral:rRNA from 1 species